rnacentral:misc_RNA from 1 species
UCCAUACUGGUUCUCUGCCAUGACAAUGAAAAGUGUGGGAAGUGCAGCUCUAAAAAUGGUUGAGGAGGUCCGUCGACAAUUCAAUACUAUUCCCGGACUUAUGGAAGGUAGAGCUAAACCAGACUAUACCAAUUGUGUCAAAAUUUCAACUGAUGCCUCACUCAGGGAGAUGAUCCCACCUGGUGCUUUGGUUAUGCUUACACCACUCAUUGCUGGAACCUUCUUUGGAGUUGAAACUCUCGCUGGUGUUCUUGCUGGUUCACUUGUCUCUGGUGUCCAGGUCGCCAUCUCAGCUUCCAACACUGGAGGGGCAUGGGACAACGCCAAGAAAUACAUUGAGGCUGGUGCUUCUGAGCA